UUUAGUUGUUUACACAGGUACCUAAGUUGCUUUAAGUUCAUUUGAACUUUGCUUUGCUUUGCUUGUGGUUGGCAUACCACUUAGGUAUAAUCCCUAUUCUUCAUGUAGUCCGGAAGUGCGGUGGCGACUCUAUCUUUGUAUGCUUUGCUUUUGAUUUAGUCAAUACAUCAUAAAGUGACGAAUACACCGCUACAAGGUUGUCUCCCAUUUGAUAUGGUGUUAACCUAAAAUUCC
rnacentral:lncRNA from 1 species